rnacentral:pre_miRNA from 1 species
AACAAGCAAGUUCCCUCCACUUAAAACAGUUUUCUUUUUGAGUGGAGGGAACUUGCUUGU